rnacentral:rRNA from 1 species
CUUGCUGGGUGGAUUAGUGGCGAACGGGUGAGUAACACGUGAGUAACCUGCCCCUGACUCUGGGAUAAGCGUUGGAAACGACGUCUAAUACUGGAUAUGAUCACCGGCCGCAUGGUCUGGUGGUGGAAAGAUUUUUUGGUUGGGGAUGGACUCGCGGCCUAUCAGCUUGUUGGUGAGGUAAUGGCUCACCAAGGCGACGACGGGUAGCCGGCCUGAGAGGGUGACCGGCCACACUGGGACUGAGACACGGCCCAGACUCCUACGGGAGGCAGCAGUGGGGAAUAUUGCACAAUGGGCGAAAGCCUGAUGCAGCAACGCCGCGUGAGGGAUGACGGCCUUCGGGUUGUAAACCUCUUUUAGUAGGGAAGAAGCGAAAGUGACGGUACCUGCAGAAAAAGCACCGGCUAACUACGUGCCAGCAGCCGCGGUAAUACGUAGGGUGCAAGCGUUGUCCGGAAUUAUUGGGCGUAAAGAGCUCGUAGGCGGUUUGUCGCGUCUGCUGUGAAAUCCCGAGGCUCAACCUCGGGCUUGCAGUGGGUACGGGCAGACUAGAGUGCGGUAGGGGAGAUUGGAAUUCCUGGUGUAGCGGUGGAAUGCGCAGAUAUCAGGAGGAACACCGAUGGCGAAGGCAGAUCUCUGGGCCGUAACUGACGCUGAGGAGCGAAAGCGUGGGGAGCGAACAGGAUUAGAUACCCUGGUAGUCCACGCCGUAAACGUUGGGCGCUAGAUGUAGGGACCUUUCCACGGUUUCUGUGUCGUAGCUAACGCAUUAAG